ensembl:lncRNA novel transcript
UUGGAUGGAUGUGGCGAGGCCAGACAAUGGUCAGCCUUGACUUUCCCUGUGGUGGAUUGGAUUGAACGCUCCAAUUCUUGCCUCUUGUCUGCCUCCACAUCCUUGUCACGAUCUCAUUGUGGGAAGAAUAUACCUUUUUUGUCCCUUAACUUUGAGCUCUGCCAGUGACUGUGUGCCAUCUCCAGCUGCAGCCUUGCCCUCUUGCCCUGCAGCCAUCGCUGUGAGAAGAGCACAUCCUAGCAGAACCCGUGAUGGAGAGGAGGUUGCCCUGCAGUGAAACAGAGCUGCCCCAGCUGCCCAGCCUGCUGUGGAGCCUGCAGCCCAGCCCAGCCCAGGUCAUGUAUCUAGUUGGACUGGCUCUUCCACUGUGGAGUGUCCCAUUUGAACCAGUUACUGAUGUAUGGCCUCCAAGCUCCAGAUCAACCCUUCCUGGCCCUGCUGGUGACAUCAGAGAUGGACUCUGUAAAUGUUCCUCCCUUGCCACCUGCCACGAUGUUACGUUUUGUCAGUAGCCAGCCACUGAGGGACAUUGCAAGUGGCAGAGGCUUUCUUCCUGGUCCCAGUGUUUUUCCUCUUGCUCCUGCAAUACUGCAGCUGGUGGGGCCAGUGGGAGACCCAGAGAUGUGAACCCUCCUGGAAGGUUCACUGUCACCCCAACAGGAGGCUUCCUGGAAAGUUUCCCCAGCACCCAGCAGGUGGUUUUCUGCUUGCCAGCCAUGGUCUGCAGCACCUCAGCAAACUCUUAUCCCAUCCAGUGGCCACAUCUUUCAUCAACGAUGUGCAUCUCAGCCUUGGAGGGGAGGCUUCGUCCAAGCUUGUCUUCCUUGAAUAUUUUGCCUCGGCCCUAGAGGUAGUGUUUUUUCUCUACAUCUGCUAUUCCUAUAAUCUGUCUUGUUUUGUUUUCUAAUUGAAGUCCCUUACUGGUCCUGCUUCUACGAGUGGCGGUGACCAGGUGAAAAGGGAGAGGAAUCAGCCGGCCCAGGGAGGGUCACCUCUACCACAUUCCACUCACACACAGAAUGGAACACACAAGCACAGAGUCAACAGUUAUUGUGAUUAGAAGUUGGUAGCAUGGGGUGGCCAGGUGCAGUGGCUCAUGCCUGUAAUCCCAGUACUUUAGGAGGCUGAGGUGGGUGGAUCACCUGAGGCCGAGAUAAGCCUGACCAACAU